CCUACGGGAGGCAGCAGUGAGGAAUAUUGGUCAAUGGGCGCGAGCCUGAACCAGCCAAGUCGCGUGAGGGAUGACUGUCCUAUGGGUUGUAAACCUCUUUUAUAUGGUAAUAAAAUGUUCCACGUGUGGGAUUUUGUAUGUACCAUAUGAAUAAGGAUCGGCUAACUCCGUGCCAGCAACCGCGGUAAUACGGAGGAUCCGAGCGUUAUCCGGAUUUAUUGGGUUUAAAGGGUGCGUAGGUGGAAUGUUAAGUCAGGUGUGAAAGUUUGCGGCUCAACCGUAGAAUUGCAGUUGAAACUGGUAGUCUUGAGUACAGUAGAGGUAGGCGGAAUGCGUGGUGUAGCGGUGAAAUGCUUAGAUAUCACGCAGAACUCCGAUUGCGAAGGCAGCUCAC
rnacentral:rRNA from 1 species